rnacentral:rRNA from 1 species
GAUGAACGCUGGCGGCGUGCCUAAUACAUGCAAGUCGAGCGAACAGACGAGGAGCUUGCUCCUCUGACGUUAGCGGCGGACGGGUGAGUAACACGUGGAUAACCUACCUAUAAGACUGGGAUAACUUCGGGAAACCGGAGCUAAUACCGGAUAAUAUAUUGAACCGCAGGGUUCAAUAGUGAAAGACGGUUUUGCUGUCACUUAUAGAUGGAUCCGCGCCGCAUUAGCUAGUUGGUAAGGUAACGGCUUACCAAGGCAACGAUGCGUAGCCGACCUGAGCGGGUGAUCGGCCACACUGGAACUGAGAGACGGUCCAGACUCCUACGGGAGGCAGCAGUAGGGAAUCUUGCGCGAUGGGCGAAAGCCUGCCGGAGCAACGCCGCGUGAGUGAUGAAGGUCUUCGGAUCGUAAAACUCUGUUAUUAGGGAAGAACAAAUGUGUAAGUAACUAUGCACGUCUUGACGGUACCUAAUCAGAAAGCCACGGCUAACUACGUG